GACGAACGCUGGCGGCGUGCUUAACACAUGCAAGUCGAACGUAAAGGCCCUGCUUUUGUGGGGUGCUCGAGUGGCGAACGGGUGAGUAACACGUGAGUAACCUGCCCUUGACUUUGGGAUAACUUCAGGAAACUGGGGCUAAUACCGGAUAGGAGCUCCUGCUGCAUGGUGGGGGUUGGAAAGUUUCGGCGGUUGGGGAUGGACUCGCGGCUUAUCAGCUUGUUGGUGGGGUAGUGGCUUACCAAGGCUUUGACGGGUAGCCGGCCUGAGAGGGUGACCGGCCACAUUGGGACUGAGAUACGGCCCAGACUCCUACGGGAGGCAGCAGUGGGGAAUAUUGCACCAUGGGCGGAAGCCUGAUGCAGCAACGCCGCGUGCGGGAUGACGGCCUUCGGGUUGUAAACCGCUUUCGCCUGUGACGAAGCGUGAGUGACGGUAAUGGGUAAAGAAGCACCGGCUAACUACGUG
rnacentral:rRNA from 1 species